rnacentral:rRNA from 1 species
GAUGAACGCUGGCGGCGUGCCUAAUACAUGCAAGUCGAGCGAACAGACGAGGAGCUUGCUCCUCUGACGUUAGCGGCGGACGGGUGAGUAACACGUGGAUAACCUACCUAUAAGACUGGGAUAACUUCGGGAAACCGGAGCUAAUACCGGAUAAUAUAUUGAACCGCAUGGUUCAAUAGUGAAAGACGGUUUUGCUGUCACUUAUAGAUGGAUCCGCGCCGCAUUAGCUAGUUGGUAAGGUAACGGCUUACCAAGGCAACGAUGCGUAGCCGACCUGAGAGGGGGAUCGGCCAAACUGGAACUGAGGCACGGUCCAAACUCCUACGGGAGGCAGCAGGAGGGAAUCUUCCGCAAUGGGGGGAAGCCUGACGGAGCAAAGCCGCGGGAGGGAUGAAGGUCUUCGGAUCGGAAAACCCUUUUAUUAGGGAAGAACAAAUGUGUAAGUAACUAUGCACGUCUUGACGGUACCUAAUCAGAAAGCCACGGCUAACUACGUG